rnacentral:rRNA from 2 species
UGCAGAAUCCCGUGAACCAUCGAGUCUUUGAACGCAAGUUGCGCCCGAUGCCAUUAGGUUGAGGGCACGUCUGCCUGGGUGUCACAUAUCGAAGCCUCCUGCCAACAUCUUGUUCACAGGGCGUUGUGCACGGCAAAUGUUGGCCUCCCGUAGCUCUUCCGGUUCACGGUUGGUUGAAAAUCGAGACCUUGGUAGGGUGUGCCAUGAUUGAUGGUGGUUGUGUGCCUCACGAGAACUUGAAAAUCAUACACUACUCUGCCAAAAGCGGCCUCCGUUACCCAUUUUGCGUUUGCGAACGCUUGUGAUGAGACCUCAGGUCAGGCGGGGCUACCCGCUGAAUUUAAGCAUAUCAAUAAGCGGAGGAAAAGAAACUAACAAGGAUUCCCUUAGUAACGGCGAGCGAACCGGGAUAAGCCCACCAUGAGAAUCGGAUGCCCUCGGCAUUCGA